AGAUGAAGUUUCCAGUCGAAGAUCUGUGGUUAUGCCCUGUAAACGUUGGAGCUCACUGGAUUUUAUUGUAUCUUCUUGUGGAUGUACAAGCCGGAUGAACAGCCAGAUCAAUGGAAAACAUGGAUAAUGUACCACAACAACCAGCAGGAUUCCACUAGCUGUGGAGUUUUAAUAUUGAUGUUUGCCAAGGAGUUCCUACGGACACGUACAAUCAGUGAAGUGAAGACCUCUCCGGAAUAUAUAAGGGAUGCACGACUGGAAAUAGC